GUCGAACGAAGGCUUCGGCCUUAGUGGCGCACGGGUGCGUAACGCGUGGGAAUCUGCCCCUUGGUUCGGAAUAACAGUUGGAAACGACUGCUAAUACCGGAUGAUGACGUAAGUCCAAAGAUUUAUCGCCGAGGGAUGAGCCCGCGUAGGAUUAGCUAGUUGGUGUGGUAAAAGCGCACCAAGGCGACGAUCCUUAGCUGGUCUGAGAGGAUGAUCAGCCACACUGGGACUGAGACACGGCCCAGACUCCUACGGGAGGCAGCAGUGGGGAAUAUUGGACAAUGGGCGAAAGCCUGAUCCAGCAAUGCCGCGUGAGUGAUGAAGGCCUUAGGGUUGUAAAGCUCUUUUACCCGGGAUGAUAAUGACAGUACCGGGAGAAUAAGCUCCGGCUAACUCCGUGCCAGCAGCCGCGGUAAUACGGAGGGAGCUAGCGUUAUUCGGAAUUACUGGGCGUAAAGCGCACGUAGGCGGCUUUGUAAGUUAGAGGUGAAAGCCUGGAGCUCAACUCCAGAAUU
rnacentral:rRNA from 1 species